CCUACGGGUGGCAGCAGUCGAGAAUCAUUCACAAUGGGGGCAACCCUGAUGGUGCGACGCCGCGUGGGGGAAUGAAGGUCUUCGGAUUGUAAACCCCUGUCAUGUGGGAGCAAAUGACAAAGAUAGUACCACAAGAGGAAGAGACGGAUAACUCUGUGCCAGCAGCCGCGGUAAUACAGAGGUCUCAAGCGUUGUUCGGAAUCACUGGGCGUAAAGGGUGCGUAAGCUGUUUCGUAAGUCGUGUGUGAAAGGCGCGGGCUCAACCCGCGGAGGGCAGAUGAAACUGGGAGACUAGAGUAAUGGAGAAGGAAGCGGAAUUCUCGGUGUAGCAGUGAAAUGCGUAGAUAUCGAGCGGAACACUCGUGGCGAAGGCAGGUUACUGGACAUUAACUGACGCUGAGGCACGAAGGCCAGGGGAGCGAAAGGGAUUAGAUACCCUUGUAGUC
rnacentral:rRNA from 1 species